rnacentral:rRNA from 1 species
CAAGUCGAGCGCUUCACUUCGGUGAGGAGCGGCGGACGGGUUAGUAACGCGUGGGAACAUACCCUUUUCUAAGGAAUAGCCACUGGAAACGGUGAGUAAUACCUUAUACGCCCUUCGGGGGAAAGAUUUAUCGGUGAAGGAUUGGCCCGCGUUAGAUUAGUUAGUUGGUGGGGUAACGGCCUACCAAGACGACGAUCUAUAGCUGGUUUGAGAGGAUGAUCAGCAACACUGGGACUGAGACACGGCCCAG